rnacentral:lncRNA from 1 species
CACCUAUGGCUUUUUGCAUCCUCAUAGUAAAAAUUUGGCUUCAGGGAGCAGAGCAUAUGCACCCAACUAGUCUUAAACGAGCAAGCAGUUUAUCAUAAACUGUGCCAAUGCUUAUUAUUUGUUAGCACUAGAACUAACUCUUUAAUAUGUCAUAGCCACAAACCGAAAAGAACAAUGAUCACUACGAAAACCUCAAAUUUACCGAGUGUUUUUUCUUUGCCGAGUAUUUUUUUUCGGACACUCGGCGAACAAACUCUUUGCCGAGUGCCAAGCUAAAAACACUCGGCAAUACUCGGCAAGUUGCGUAUUUCUUUCCUCACGCUCAAUCCUCGACAUGGUUGGAAUCCGGGAAUAUAUAGCCAGGUUGUUGCGAAUACCCCAGCAUCCUUUGGGCUUUUUCUCUGCACAAGGCUUGAGUAGCCUCCCAUGGCUAUUCGACUACGUCACCGGUCAAUAACUGAUACAAUCACAGCAAAAAGCAAGAUGGC